UAUUCCCUAUAUAGUGGCACCCUAUUGCCUAUAUAGUGGUACCCUAAUCCCUAUAUAGUGGUACCCUAUUCCCUAUAUAGCGGUACCCUAUUCCCUAUUAUAGAUGGCACCCUGUUCCUUAUUUUCCCUUAUUCUCUAUUCCCCUAUAAUGCCAAUAAGGUCCCAUUUGGGACGCACCUUUUGACUGGUUAAAUAUGGACUGUUUCCUUUAGUUGGUAAUUUAGGCGUCAGGGAUGCCUCUAAAUCUGUUCUUCAAAGGGGUGAGUGUUGUGGAUGAUAUAUAUAUAUAUAUAUAUAUAUAUAUAUAUAUAUAUAUAUAUAUAUAUAUAUAUAUAUAUAUAUAAAAGCCAUUUCAGCUGGUUGUAUGUUAUUUUUUAAAUUCUUUUCAGAUGCUAUUGUUGUUAAUGAAUUCAAUGCUAUAAGCUUUUUCACACUGCAGUGUUCUUAGCCUGACCCUGGCCUGGCUUAUCCUGUGUUCACGGUUCAUACAAGCUUUUAGUGAUGACCUGUCUAAACCUUGCUGUCUGCCUGUCCGACCUCGGGGGGGGAGGGUGGGGAGAAAAAACUGUUUCACUUUUGAAAUGCGAUCUCGCCCCUGUACAGAGAAUGCUGUGCACAGACGAGACAUCGACUUUUCUGAUCCAGGCGAAAUCAUACAACAAUAUUUUAUUGUCAUGGAUAGCCAUAAUCCAAUGAAAUGUCAAUAUGAAAACAGAGUGGAGAGCUUGAUGCCCUUCCAGCUGUAGAGUUUGUGGCUUCAGUCGGCUAGCUAAGUGAGAAGAAGUUAGCCGGCCGGCAGAGAAAACAUUUAUAUUAGCCAUAGAAACCAAAUGUUUUUGCAUAGAUGAAAGAAUUGUUUUUAUUUAUUUUUAGGUUUUUUGUCCUCUGAUAGAAGGAUGAAAUAGUAUAAAUGUAUUUAUUAAAAUGGCACAACACCAUCACAGGCAUCACAAGCAUAUGUAAGUUAAGUGAAUGUGCAGCUUUUUUGUGAUUGGACAGUAAAGAUUCUAUGCGUUGUUCUUGACCCUGUUUUACACGGGCUAUUUUGGCGCCGUAUUUCUGGGGCUAGCCCUGAAAAGUCGACACUAACCCUGCUCCGGAACAGGGCCCAGCUAGCCCUGGGCUAAGGUUGGUGCUAGCCCACUUGUAGAAUGUUCAAGUGUGAAUAUUCGCUUAGCCCUGUGCUAAAAUCUCCCUUCGCCCAGGCCUGAGGAGGCUCUUAGCCCUGAGAUAAAAUCUCCCUUCGCCCAGGCCUGAGGAGGCUCUUAGCCCUGAGCUAAAAUCUCCCUUCGCCCAGGCCUGAGCAGGCUCUUAGCCCUGAGCUAAAAUCUCCCUUCGCUCAGGCCUGAGGAGGCUCUUAGCCCUGAGCUAAAAUCUCCCUUCGCCCAGGCCUGAGGAGGCUCUUAGCCCUGAGCUAAAAUCUCCCUUCGCCCAGGCCUGAGCAGGCUCUUAGCCCUGAGCUAAAAUCUCCCUUCGCUCAGGCCUGAGGAGGCUCUUAGCCCUGAGCUAAAAUCUCCCUUCGCCCAGGCCUGAGGAGGCUCUUAGCCCUGAGCUAAAAUCUCCCUUCGCCCAGGCCUGAGGAGGCUCUUAGCCCUGAGCUAAAAUCUCCCUUCGCCCAGGCCUGAGGAGGCUCUUAGCCCUGAGCUAAGGUGCAGUGUGAAUAUUCUCUUUACCCUGAACUAAGGUGCAGUGUGAAUAUUCUCUUAGCCCUGAGCUAAGGUGCAGUGUGAAUAUUCUCUUAGCCCUGAACUAAGGUGCAGUGUGAAUAUUCUCUUAGCCCUGAACUAAGGUGCAGUGUGAAUAUUCUCUUAGCCCUGAACUAAGGUGCAGUGUGAAUAUUCUCUUAGCCCUGAACUAAGGUGCAGUGUGAAUAUUCUCUUAGCCCUGAGCUAAGAGCCCUGAAAGUUGGAACAAAUGUGUGUUCUUUCAAUCACCAAAUCUCCUUUUUUGUCAUUAAAGCCUCUCUCUCUUUUUUUUCAACUAUCUCAGUCUUUGUUUUUCUUCUUUAGUGCCUCAUUCUGUCUGUUUCUAUAUACUGUUAUUCUUCCUCCUCAUUGAUACAAUGUAUAAAAAAAAAAGAAGCUAUUGCUAAGUUUCUUGUACGUUUCUAGCUAUGACAUGACAUGAAAU